rnacentral:rRNA from 1 species
AGAGCGAACGCUGGCGGCAGGCUUAACACAUGCAAGUCGAGCGGAUGUAGCAAUACAUCAGCGGCAGACGGGAUAGUAACACGUGGGAACGCGCCCUUUGGUUCGGAAUAACUCAGGGAAACUUGAGCUAAUACCGGAUAAGCCCUUACGGGGAAAGAUUUAUCGCCAAAGGAACGGCCCGCGUCCGAUUAGCUAGUUGGUGAGGUAAUGGCUCACCAAGGCGACGAUCGGUAGCUGGUCUGAGAGGAUGACCAGCAUCACUGGGACUGAGACACGGCCCAGACUCCUACGGGAGGCAGCAGUGGGGAAUAUUGGACAAUGGGCGCAAGCCUGAUCCAGCCAUGCCGCGUGGAUGAUGAAGGCCCUAGGGUUGUAAAGUCCUUUUAACGGGAAGAUAAUGACGGUACCCGUAGAAUAAGCCCGGCUAACUUCGUGCCAGCAGCCGC